CAGAGCCACGGGAACACGAAGGGUGCAAGCGUUACUCGGAAUUACUGGGCGUAAAGCGUGCGUAGGUGGUGGUUUAAGUCCGUUGUGAAAGCCCUGGGCUCAACCUGGGAAUUGCAGUGGAUACUGGGUCACUAGAGUGUGGUAGAGGAUAGUGGAAUUUCCGGUGUAGCAGUGAAAUGCGUAGAGAUCGGAAGGAACAUCUGUGGCGAAGGCGACUAUCUGGGCCAACACUGACACUGAGGCACGAAAGCGUGGGGAGCAAACAGGAUUAGAUACCCCCGUAGUCCCUGUCUCUUAUACC
rnacentral:rRNA from 1 species